AUAGACAUUUAGCCUUUAAAUUCAAAUCCUUUCUUAACUCUUUACUACCAUUAUAUAUUAUAUAUCUGCCCGUCAGUUAUUCUACCAUGCAUUCAAAAUUUAACAGCAAUUCUAAAGACCCGCACUUUAUGGAAAUCAAAAGUUGGCUAAUGAAAAUGUUCCAUGUUUCAAGUAAAAACUGAAAAUCUAAUGAAUUUUCUAUUCAUUUGUUGACGGGCUGUCAAAAACAGUUGAAGCUGUAAUCAAUAAGUUUUGACAGUUGAUGGCAAGGCAAUUAGAUGGAGGUUCUUUCAAGGAACAGGGACUAGUCUAUAAACCAAUGGCAUUUAAUGGAUAAGCGGCAAGUUUUAAUUGGAAAAAUGGCAGCAACAAGAAAAACAACAAGCAAAAGAAAGCAACAACAGGAGCAACAAUAUUGGCAUUAAACUACACUUAAAACUCAAUCAACUGCGUCUAACAAUAUUAAAACCGGCUCCAUAGAGAGAAAGGGGAAUAGAUGAUGGAAGUGAGCGAGUGAGAGAGAAAAUGAGAGAGAGGGAAGCUGAGGAAUGGCAAAAAUAACGCAUACGCCAUGUGAUGCAGCGACUGCGUUGAAAUAAAGAAUGCAAUCAAUUUGUCAACUUCUCUUUGGCUGCAUGCCCUGUAACCAUACAACAAAACGGGCGUAUAGACUAACAGACAGGCGUUUGCUACAGACUUAUUAAAAAUAUUUCAAAAUCAUAUUAAUAUAUGUAUACGAACCCUUUGCCUGUGUGAAAAGCAGCAGCUGGCUUACGUUAAAUAACUAUUAAAGAACAGGGUAUUUUUCUGUC